rfam:Chthoniobacter flavus Ellin428 ctg79, whole genome shotgun sequence.
UCUGGUGAUCCCAGCGCAGUGGACCCACCCGUUCCCAUUCCGAACACGGAAGUGAAACGCUGCAGCCCCGAUGAUAGUGCAUGUCUAGCUUGUGCGAAAGUAGGACGUCGCCAGUU